UACGGAGGGUGCGAGCGUUUGUCCGGAAUCAUUGGGCGUAAAGGGCGCGUAGGUGGCGGGACAAGCGUGACGGUGAAGCCUGGGCUCAACCCGGGUCGGCCGUGCGAACUGUUUGCUUGAGCACUGUAGAGGCAGGCGGAAUUCCGGGUGUAGCGGUGGAAUGCGUAGAUAUCAUUUGGAACGCCAACGGUGAAACGACAGCUGGGGGUGUCCUGACGCUGAGACGGCGAAAGCCAGGGGAGCGAACGGGG
rnacentral:rRNA from 1 species